AAGCUGGGCGCCUUCUCCUCUCCUCCUCACUCCCUCAUGCAAGCACCAGAGAAGAAACAUCUCAUCUUCUUCUCUUCCUUCCCCAUGGCUGCCCUCUCCUCUUCCAUAUGUUUUCCUCUCCUUUCUCCACAACAACAGUAGCCAUGCGUGCCCUCUACUUCUCUUCUCUCCCUCAUGCAUACACCGGAGAAGGAGAACCUAUAUCUCCUCCCCAUCCUCUACCAUGGACGCCCCUUCUCUCCCCUCCAAAAUCCUCUCAAUUCUCUCCAUCAAAGAGCAGUGUUCUCACUAUUGCAAUUUGUUUCACCGCUGCACCAUUCAUUUUGAAGCCUAAACAUGUUGAUUCCGUUGUCGUCAUCCUCUUCUAUAUAGAGCUCAUGGGUUACAACCAAGGAAUCAUUUUCACCGUCCCGGGUGAAUGCUUGCUGCCGACAUCAAAAUCAAAGAUCAACCCAUCACCCACACUUCAUCUUGCAGCAACGUCACCCUCAUCAUCUUAAGGUUAUCUUGCCGCUGAUUGUCAGCGUCAAUUCCCCAUCGAGGUCAUUGCCUGCUAUAUAUAAUCCCCAUUUUAGAACCCACACUUUCCUCUCUGUAAUAUAUGUUGAUCUCUACUGCAAUUUUUAUGUCAUAAAUCAUGAUUCCAUCGAUUAUAUGAUGUUAUAUUUCUAAGUGUGUUGCUGUCCCGUGCAAACAGCAGCUGCACGGUUGGUUGGCAUGCAUGUUCUCAGUAAGUAUAAUCUCAUUCACAAAUUUCUUUGAA